rnacentral:rRNA from 1 species
GUACAUGCAAGUGGUAGGAAACCGAAAGGCGACCGACCUUCGGGAGCUUGCACAGGUGCUGCAUGGCUGUCGUCAGCUCGUGUCGUGAGAUGUUCGGUUAAGUCCGCUAACGAGCGCAACCCUCGCUGUGUGUUACAAGUGUCACACGGUACUGCCGGUCUUAAGCCGGAGGAAGGUGGGGAUGACGUCAAGUCAGCAUGGCCUUUAUGUCCUGGGCUACACACACGCUACAAUGGCCAACACAAUAGGUUGCUAAGCCGCGAGGUGGAGCCAAUCCUCAAAGUUGGUCUCAGUUCAGAUUGCAGGCUGCGACCCGCCUGCAUGAAGAUGGAGUUGCUAGUAACCGCAGGUCAGCUAUACUGCGGUGAAUACGUUCCCGGGGCUU